AGAGUUUGAUCAUGGCUCAGAACGAACGCUGGCGGCAUGCCUCAUACAUGCAAGUCGAGCGAGAAAGAGCGGCUUCGGUUGCUCGAGUAAAGCGGCGGACGGGUGCGUAACACGUGAGAAACAUGCCUCUAUGUCGGGGAUAAGCUGGCGAAAGCUGGUCUAAUACCGGAUGUUAUCGAUGAUUCGCAUGUUUUAUCGAUUAAAGGUGGUUGAGUCUAUGCCACCGCAUAGAGAUUGUCUCGCGUCCCAUUAGCUUGUUGGUAGGGUAACGGCCUACCAAGGCUGCGAUGGGUAGCCGGCCUGAGAGGGUGAUCGGCCACACUGGGACUGAGAUACGGCCCAGACUCCUACGGGAGGCAGCAGUAGGGAAUAUUGGACAAUGGGCGCAAGCCUGAUCCAGCAAUGCCGCGUGGAUGAUGAAGCAUUUUGGUGUGUAAAAUCCUGUCAGCGGGGACGAAACGCAGAGUAAGGAAAUGUGCUCUGCCUGACUGUACCCGCAGAGGAAGUUCCGGCUAACUCCGUGCCAGCAGCCGCGGUAACACGGGGGGAACAAGCGUUGUUCGGAUUCACUGGGCGUAAAGGGCACGCAGGCGGGGAGACAAGUCAGAUGUGAAAACCCGAGGCUCAACCUCGGGCCUGCAUUUGAAACUGUUUCUCUUGAGUACGGAAGAGGAUGGCAGAAUUCCUGGUGUAGCGGUGAAAUGCGUAGAUAUCAGGAAGAAUACCGGUGGCGAAGGCGGCCAUCUGGUCCGAUACUGACGCUCAGGUGCGAAGGCCGGGGGAGCAAACAGGAUUAGAUACCCUAGUAGUCC
rnacentral:rRNA from 1 species